GUGCUCGCUUUGGCAGCACAUAUACUAAAAUUGGAAUGAUACAGAGAAGAGAAUGAACAUAUAUAAUUUUGAUAUGAACUUAUUUUCU